CGGCGGACGGGUGAGUAACGCGUGGGUAACCGUGCCUCAUACAGGGGAGUAACAGUUGGAAACGGCUGCUAAUACCGCAUAAGCGCACAGUACCGCAUGGUACGGUGUGAAAAACUCCGGUGGUAUGAGAUGGACCCGCGUCUGAUUAGGUAGUUGGUGGGUAACGGCCUACCAAGCCGACGAUCAGUAGCCGACCUGAGAGGGUGACCGGCCACAUUGGGACUGAGACACGGCCCAA
rnacentral:rRNA from 1 species